GGAAGUAGAAGUCGUAACAAGGUUUCCGUAGGUGAACCUGCGGGAAGGGAUCAUUGUCGAACCCUGCAAAGCAGAAACGACCCUUGGAAAGUUUAAAGACGUAACAAGGUUUCCGCUAGCCCGUGUACGUGCGGAAGGAUCAUUAAUAAAACGAAUCUGCGGUUUAGGUCAGCCCUGACCGUAGUGUUUUAAACCAACUGUGAACUAAAACCUUAUUGCUUCGGUAGCUGGGUUCGGGUCCAACCGCCCUGCCCGUCAGCCUGCCGGCAGCAACCAAACCAAAACUUGCUUUAAAAAUUAUGUCUGAAACCAAUCAUUUUCGAAUGAAAAUUAAAACUUUCAACAACGGAUCUCUUGGUUCUCGCAUCGAUGAAGAACGCAGCGAAACGCGAUAGUUAAUGUGAAUUGCAGAAUUCAGUGAAUCAUCGAGUCUUUGAACGCACAUUGCGCCCAUCGGUAUUCCUUUGGGCAUGUCUGUUUGAGCGUCAUUUCAACUCUCUAUCCAUAAAUUUUUUUGUGCGAUUAGGUUUUGAGCUCGGUUUUGAUGGGUCAAACCACCAGCCGGCUUUAAAGUUGAACGCUCUGCGGGUGACUUUCUACCUGACCGAACAUAGUAAAAUUUUUAUUCUUGUUCUACUUGGUACCAAGUUGUUUACCCAGCCUGAACAAACUUAUAUUUCUAAGGUUUGACCUCAGAUCAGACAAGUGCAGUCAUCCCGCUGAACUUAAGCAUAUCUAACGGGGGAAAAAUUUCCCAGAGUUUCCCGCUUCCAGCCCGCGAUCCCAGGUCAGGGGACUACCCGCUGAGUUAAGCAUAUCAACACGCGGAGGAAACGGGAGUCUCAGGAUAGAAUUAGUGCUAUAAAAAGCGACGAUAUACAGGCCUGGAGUCAGCUACGUAGUAUCAUC
rnacentral:rRNA from 1 species